UACGUAGGUGGCAAGCGUUGUCCGGAUUUAUUGGGUUUAAAGGGUGCGUAGGCGGUCUUAUAAGUCAGUGCUGAAAUAUCCCGGCUUAACCGGGAGGGUGGCAUUGAUACUGCAGGACUUGAGUAGAGUUGAGGUUGGCGGAAUUGACGGUGUAGCGGUGAAAUGCUUAGAUAUCGUCAAGAACACCGAUAGUGAAGACAGCUAACUAAGCUCUAACUGACGCUGAGGCACGAAAGUGUGGGGAUCAAACAGG
rnacentral:rRNA from 1 species